rnacentral:rRNA from 1 species
UACGUAGGGGGCUAGCGUUAUCCGGAAUUACUGGGCGUAAAGGGUGCGUAGGUGGUUUCUUAAGUCAGAGGUGAAAGGCUACGGCUCAACCGUAGUAAGCCUUUGAAACUGGGAAACUUGAGUGCAGGAGAGGAGAGUGGAAUUCCUAGUGUAGCGGUGAAAUGCGUAGAUAUUAGGAGGAACACCAGUUGCGAAGGCGGCUCUCUGGACUGUAACUGACACUGAGGCACGAAAGCGUGGGGAGCAAACAGGAUUAGAUACCCCCGUAGUCCCUGAGCGGGCU